rnacentral:rRNA from 1 species
AUUGAACGCUGGCGGCAGGCCUAACACAUGCAAGUCGAACGAGUGGCGGACGGGUGAGUAAUGUCUGGGAAACUGCCCGAUGGAGGGGGAUAACUACUGGAAACGGUAGCUAAUACCGCAUACCAUCAGAUGUGCCCAGAUGGGAUUAGCUAGUAGGUGGGGUAACGGCUCACCUAGGCGACGCUCCCUAGCUGGUCUGAGAGGAUGAACAUGCACACUGGAACUGAGACACGGUCCAGACGCCUACGGGAGGCAGCAGUGGGGAAUAUUGCACAAUGGGGGCAAGCCUGAGGCAGCCAUGCCGCGUGUAUGAAGAAGGCCUUCGGGUUGUAAAGUACUUUCAGCGAGGAGGCGUUACUCGCAGAAGAAGCACCGGCUAACUCCGUGCCAGCAGCCGCGGUAAUAC